rnacentral:rRNA from 1 species
GAUGAACGCUGGCGGCGUGCCUAAUACAUGCAAGUCGAGCGAACAGACGAGGAGCUUGCUCCUCUGACGUUAGCGGCGGACGGGUGAGUAACACGUGGAUAACCUACCUAUAAGACUGGGAUAACUUCGGGAAACCGGAGCUAAUACCGGAUAAUAUAUUGAACCGCAUGGUUCAAUAGUGAAAGACGGUUUUGCUGUCACUUAUAGAUGGAUCCGCGCCGCAUUAGCUAGUUGGUAAGGUAACGGCUUACCAAGGCAACGAUGCGUAGCCGACCUGAGAGGGUGAUCGGCCACACUGGAACGGAGACACGGUCCAGACUCCUACGGGAGGCAGCGGUAGGGAAUCUUCCGCAAUGGGCGAAAGCCUGACGGAGCAACGCCGCGUGAGUGAUGAAGGUCUUCGGAUCGUAAAACUCUGUUAUUAGGGAAGAACAAAUGUGUAAGUAACUAUGCACGUCUUGACGGUACCUAAUCAGAAAGCCACGGCUAACUACGUG